GCUUGUCUCAAAGAUUAAGCCAUGCAUGUCUUAGUGUAAAUAACUCUUAUGAAACUGCGAAUGGCUCAUUAAAUCAGUUAUCAAAUACGUGAUGGUCGCCUACUACAUGGAUAACCGUAGUAAUUCUAGAGCUAAUACAUGCUGAAAAUCCCGACUUCGGAAGGGAUGUAUUUAUUAGAUUAAAAACCAAUGCCCCUCGGGGCUCUCUGGUGAAUCAUGAUAACUAGUCGAAUCGACAGGCCUUGUGCCGGCGAUGGCUCAUUCAAAUUUCUUCCCUAUCAACUUUCGAUGUUUGGGUAUUGGCCAAACAUGGUGGCAACGGGUAACGGAGGGUUAGGGCUCGACCCCGGAGAAGGAGCCUGAGAAACGGCUACUACAUCCAAGGAAGGCAGCAGG
rnacentral:rRNA from 1 species